CUUUCCCUACAAGAUGCUCUUCGGCACAUCUCUCUGUGGUCCGUGUGCAGCUGGGUUAUCAAGGCAGCGAGUAUUUGAGACACACACCCGCUGAAGUGAUUCCGACUAUACUGCUGCUGGCCAGAGGCUAACGCGGUCGUGUUUAGAAGGUAACCCUCAAAUUGUGAAAACGUGCGCUAACUGCUAUCAGUCACAAACGGAGGAGA